UCCGAGUUGACCCCGGCAGUAUCCCAUGAGUUCCCACCAUUACGUGCUGGCAACAUAGAACGAGGGUUGCGCUCGUUGCGGGACUUAACCCAACAUCUCACGACACGAGCUGACGACAACCAUGCACCACCUGUGAACCGGCCGCAAGCGGGGCACCUGUCUCCAGGUAUUUCCAGUCCAUGUCAAGCCUUGGUAAGGUUCUUCGCGUUGCAUCGAAUUAAUCCGCAUGCUCCGCCGCUUGUGCGGGCCCCCGUCAAUUUCUUUGAGUUUUAGCCUUGCGGCCGUACUCCCCAGGCGGGGUACUUAAUGCGUUAGCUGCGCCGCCGACAAGCAAGCUUGCCGACGGCUAGCAUCCAUCGUUUACGGCGUGGACUAC
rnacentral:misc_RNA from 1 species